CACCCGGUAGCACAUGGUGCGCAUCUGCCCAGUAUAUUAGCCAGUUGAACUUGCAGGCAGAAGACCCCGUUCAAUUCGGGGCUGGGUGA